rnacentral:rRNA from 1 species
AACGAACGCUGGCGGCAUGCCUAACACAUGCAAGUCGAACGAGACCUUCGGGUCUAUUGGCGCACGGGUUCGUAACGCGUGGGAACCUUCCCUUAGGUUCGGAAUAACUCCCCGAAAGGGGUGCUAAUACCGGAUAAUGUCUUCGGACCAAAGAUUUAUCGCCUUUGGAUGUGCCCGCGUUGGAUUAGCUAGUUGUUAGGGUAAAAGCCUACUAAGGCGACGAUCCAUAGCUGGUAUGAGAGGAUGAUCAGCCACACUGGGACUGAGACACGGCCCAGACUCCUACGGGAGGCAGCAGUGGGGAAUAUUGGAAAAUGGGCGAAAGCAUGAACCAGCAAUGACGCGUGAGUGAUGAAGGCAUUAGGGUUGUAAAGCUCUUUUAACCGGGAUGAUAAUGACAGUACCGGGAGAAUAAGCUCCGGCUAACUACGUG